rnacentral:rRNA from 1 species
UACGUAGGGUGCAAGCGUUAUUCGGAAUUACUGGGCGUAAAGCGUGCGCAGGCGGUUUGUUAAGUCUGUUGUGAAAUCCCCGAGCUCAACUUGGGAAUUGCAAUGGAUACUGGCAGGCUGGAGUAUUGUAGAGGAAGGUGGAAUUCCCGGUGUAGCAGUGAAAUGCGUAGAGAUCGGGAGGAACACCAGUGGCGAAGGCGGCCUUCUGGACCAAUACUGACGCUCAUGCACGAAAGCGUGGGGAGCAAACAGG